ensembl:lincRNA Gm53 predicted gene 53
AGAGGGCGCCAAAGGCGACGCGCUGGCGGCCAGCUCCAAGCCAACCAGGCCCAUUGCGUCCGUCUGCAGGAACCUGUCUCUUCACCCUGCUUUGGACACUGAGCUUCGGAGGAUCUGGCUGCGAGCUGAUUCAACGCCAGGGCGCCGCCUAGAGGUCGGUCGCGUCCUCGGUCUCGCUCAGCGACCACAGAGCUGCUUGUCCAAGCCACAGUGUCAGACUUAAACAAAACAAAACAAAAUUCCUGCUUGGAUCAGAGACUUGGCUUCUGGGACCGUUGACUUAUCAGAAACUUGCCUCCUCUCUGCUUCAUAACGAACCCCAGGAAGAGAGAGGGACCAGGGAUCUCAAAGAAAUAUUUGUCCUGUGGCACCGACUAGGUGGAAGAAAAGUCUCAACAUGACAAGAGGGGAUAUAAACUGUUUGAAGUUCAUCAGCACGGUGAAGUUUUAUUGUAUUUCCGGUCCCUAAAAGAGAAGCCGGCAGCCAGGCAGACUCCCUCCUUAUCUCCGAGUUUCCAUGCCAGGGACACACACGUGGCCAAGCGGACACUUGCCUUCGGGAGCAGGGAGGGAGGGAGCCGGCUCCGAUCCACUCUCCCUCACCGGCUCAGUUCUACUUGGCUCCACUCUCCUGUCUACUCCCCUGUCUCAAGGCUGGGGUUGCCUUAGAGUUGGAUAUCUGAGAGCUGCCUGGGAGUCUGGGUAACCCUGGAGCCCAGGGCCUGGCCAGAUGGUGAGUGUGUGCGAAUCUCCCUA